CAAAAUGUAGCUUAAAUAAAGCAUCUCGCUUACACCGAGAAGAUGUCCGAUAAACCCGAGCCAUUUUGA
rnacentral:tRNA from 1 species